rnacentral:rRNA from 1 species
GACGAACGCUGGCGGCGUGCUUAACACAUGCAAGUCGAACGGUAAGGCCCUUCGGGGUACACGAGUGGCGAACGGGUGAGUAACACGUGGGUGAUCUGCCCUGCACUUCGGGAUAAGCCUGGGAAACUGGGUCUAAUACCCGACAGGACCACUGCCUGCAUGGGUGGCGGUGGAAAGCUUUUGUGGUGUGGAAUGGGCCCGCGGCCUAUCAGCUUGUUGGUGGGGGGAUGGCCUACCAAGGGGACGACGGGUAGCCGGCCUGAGAGGGUGACCGGCCACACUGGGACUGAGAUACGGCCCAGACUCCUACGGGAGGCAGCAGUGGGGAAUAUUGCACAAUGGGCGCAAGCCUGAUGCAGCGACGCCGCGUGAGGGAUGACGGCCUUCGGGUUGUAAACCUCUUUCAGCACCGACGAAGCGCAAGUGACGGUAGGUGCAGAAGAAGGACCGGCCAACUACGUGCCAGCAGCCGCGGUAA